rnacentral:rRNA from 1 species
GCUUAACACAUGCAAGUCGAGCGGAGAUGAGGUGCUUGCACCUUAUCUUAGCGGCGGACGGGUGAGUAAUGCUUAGGAAUCUGCCAUUUAGUGGGGGACAACAUCUCGAAAGGGAUGCUAAUACCGCAUACGUCCUACGGGAGAAAGCAGGGGAUCUUCGGACCUUGCGCUAAAUGAUGAGCCUAAGUCGGAUUAGCUAGUUGGUGGGGUAAAGGCCUACCAAGGCGACGAUCUGUAGCGGGGUCUUGAGAGGAUGAUCCGCCACACUGGGACUGAGACACGGCCCAGACUCCUACGGGAGGCAGCAGUGGGGAAUAUUGGACAAUGGGCGGAAGCCUGAUCCAGCCAUGCCGCGUGUGUGAAGAAGGCCUUUUGGUUGUAAAGCACUUUAAGCGAGGAGGAGGCUACUAGUAUUAAUACUCUGGAUAGUGGACGUUACUCGCAGAAUAAGCA